GUGUUUGCUUCGGCAGCACAUACACUAAAAUUGGAACGAUACAGGGAAGAUUAGCACGGCCCCUGUGCAAGAAGGACAUGCAGAUUUGUGAAGCAUUUCAUAUUUUU